rnacentral:rRNA from 1 species
CUGCUGCCUUCCGUAGGAGUUUGGGCCGUGUCUCAGUCCCAAUGUGGCCGAUCAACCUCUCAGUUCGGCUACGCAUCAUUGCCUUGGUAAGCCUUUACCCCACCAACUAGCUAAUGCGUCGCGGGCCCAUCCAAAAGCGGUAGCAUAGCCACCUUUUACAUAGUUACCAUGCGGUAACUAUGGUUAUGCGGUAUUAGCACCUGUUUCCAAGUGUUAUCCCCCUCUUUUGGGCAGGUUGCCCACGUGUUACUCACCCGUUGCCA